rnacentral:rRNA from 1 species
CCUACGGGAGGCAGCAGUAGGGAAUCUUCCACAAUGGGCGCAAGCCUGAUGGAGCAACACCGCGUGAGUGAAGAAGGGUUUCGGCUCGUAAAACUCUGUUGUUGGAGAAGAACGUGCGUAAGAGUAACUGUUUACGCAGUGACGGUAUCCAACCAGAAAGUCACGGCUAACUACGUGCCAGCAGCCGCGGUAAU